GUGCAGAGUAUUUCCUCCCUUGCUUCACCGCCAGAUGUCGGAGUUCUCAUCAACUGGCGAAAAUCUCGAAAAAUUGGCGGAAAACAGCCGGUGGAAAGUUGAAAAGGUGAUGUACCUGAUCCUGGUAAAAAAACCCUUCUUAGUGAUUGAAAAGAGAGUUGUUACUCUGGAAAUAGAUGGUUUGGUGAUAGUAUUUGCAAGUCACGUAUUUAACAUGUAAUACGAGGAAGCCACACAGAAUUCAUGCAAAGAUGCUUGGUGGAUCUGAGUCCAUCAACUGAGAGCAAAUGAAAGGCCAGACAAAGUGGAAUGCCCAGUGAAGUCCCGUCAUUCCCGAACUCCCUGAUGGAGUUUCAUUUGAGUAUAGUAUCUCUGUUUGACACUGAAGUUCACUGUUAAACAUAAAUGUUUAUUCAGCGAUGGUUUGGUAAGAUAUUUUGUUAUUUCUUCUGUCAGUUGGAAGAUUAAUAGUGGCUCAGAACACAGAGUCUAAAGCUUAUCUACAAUGGAAGUCAAACCCCACUGAGACAUGAAGUUGUGCAAAUGUAAUUUUGCAUGGAUAUUUCCAAAAGGAAGCUUGUAAGUCAAUGUAUGCAGGCACAUUUUUACAUCAGGAUAGAAUGUAUUGCCGCUGUGCAUUUUUUAUGCACAUGUAAUCUGUUUACUGUUUCCAACUGACAAAUUUGUGAAUGCUUUCGAAUGAGCAGUUGAUGGGGAAAAAUAUGUUGAGAUACGGAUUUCCACUGAUUUUGUUUCUAAUGACACAAAUGUAAACUGAAACUAAGAAUCUAUAUUUUUGUUAUAAGAUUAUUGCCUCUAGAUAAUGUUGAUGGAAAACAAUUCAGUUUACAUGUUACCCUAAUUCCUCAACCAUUUUGCAUAUGGAAGAGCAACUUUCAGCUCAAUUUGUGCACAUUUUUGGAUUCUUGAUCUUAUUUUUUUUUAAAAAUUUUUGGACACAGAACUACAUUGGUUGGGUUGGUCAAUUUCAGUGCUUCACAUGAAGUAUAAUUUUAUCAGUCUACACAGAGUA